rnacentral:rRNA from 1 species
AGCGAGGAAAGAAAUCAACAGAGAUUGCCUCAGUAACGGCGAGUGAAGCGGCAACAGCUCAAAUUUGAAAUCUGGCCCUUUCAGGGUCCGAGUUGUAAUUUGCAGAGGGUGCUUUGGCAUUGGUUGCAGCCUAAGUUCCUUGGAACAGGACGUCGCAGAGGGUGAGAAUCCCGUAUGUGGCCGCCAGCCUUUGCCGUGUAAAGCCCCUUCGACGAGUCGAGUUGUUUGGGAAUGCAGCUCUAAAUGGGAGGUAAAUUUCUCCUAAAGCUAAAUACCGGCCAGAGACCGAUAGCGCACAAGUAGAGUGAUCGAAAGAUGAAAAGCACUUUGGAAAGAGAGUCAAAAAGCACGUGAAAUUGUUGAAAGGGAAGCGCUUGCAGCCAGACGUGCCUGCGGUCGUUCAUCCGGGCUUCUGCCCGGUGCACUCCUCCGCAGGCAGGCCAGCAUCAGUUUCGGUGGCCGGACAAAUGCCUGCUAAACGUACCUCCCCCGGGAGGACUUAUAGGGUAGGCGGCAUACGGCCAGCCUGGACUGAGGUCCGCGCUUCGGCGAGGAUGCUGGCGUAAUGGUGGCAAGCGGCCCGUCUUGAAACACGGACCAAGGAGUCUAACAUCUAUGCGAGUGUUUGGGUGUCAAGCCCGAGCGCGCAAUGAAAGUGAACGGAGGUGAGAUCCCUUGCGGGUGCAUCAUCGACCGAUCCUGAUGUCUUCGGAUGGAUUUGAGUAAGAGCAUAGCUGUUGGGACCCGAAAGAUGGUGAACUAAGCUUGAAUAGGGUGAAGCCAGAGGAAACUCUGGUGGAGGCUCGCAGCGGUUCUGACGUGCAAAUCGAUCGUCAAAUUUGGGCUUAGGGGCGAAAGACUAAUCGAACCAUCUAGAAGCUGGU